GACGAACGCUGGCGGCGUGCUUAACACAUGCAAGUCGAACGGUGAAGCGCCUUCCUUUUUGGUGGGUGUGGAUGAGUGGCGAACGGGUGAGUAACACGUUAGUAACCUGCCCCCUUCUUCUGGAUAACCGCAUGAAAGUGUGGCUAAUACGGGAUAUUCUGGGUCUGUCGCAUGAUGGGUCUGGGAAAGAUAUUGUUUCGGUGGGGGAUGGGCUCGCGGCCUAUCAGCUUGUUGGUGGGGUGAUGGCCUACCAAGGCGGUGACGGGUAGCCGGCCUGAGAGGGUGGACGGCCACACUGGGACUGAGACACGGCCCAGACUCCGACGGGAGGCAGCAGUGAGGAAUAUUGCACGAUGGGCGCAAGCCUGAUGCAGCGACGCCGCGUGAGGGAUGGAGGCCUGCGGGUUGUGAACCUCUUUCGGCAGUGAAGCAGGCCUGCCUCGUUUGUGGGUGGGUUGACGGUAGCUGGAGAAGAAGCGCCGGCUAACUACGUG
rnacentral:rRNA from 1 species